UCCUACAUAUCAUAGGCAGUUUUUUUAAAUAACUCUAUAGCUAUAUUAAAAAUAAGGGUUACGCUCGUUAUAGGAAUUAACCAAACAUUUCACAACACGAGCUGACGACAACCAUGCAGCACUUGUUUAGGAUUUUUUUAUUAAUUAUACACCUAAAUAUAAUCAAAUCAAUUAAAUGACUAAUCCUACAUCAAGAACUGGUAAGGUUUUGCGCGUUAUAUCGAAUUAAACCACAUGCUCCACCGCUUGUGCAAACCUCCGUCAAUUUCUUUGAAUUUCAGUCUUGCGACCGUACUACUCAGGCGGAGUGUUUAACGCGUUAACUUGAACACUGAAAUUUUUAAUUCCAAUAUUGAACACUCAUCGUUUAGGGCAUGGACUAC
rnacentral:misc_RNA from 1 species